AUUGAACGCUGGCGGCAUGCUUUACACAUGCAAGUCGAACGGCAGCGCGGGCUUCGGCCUGGCGGCGAGUGGCGAACGGGUGAGUAAUACAUCGGAACGUGCCCAGUAGUGUGGGAUAGCUCGGCGAAAGCCGGAUUAAUACCGCAUACGACCUGAGGGUGAAAGCGGGGGAGCUUCGGACCUCGCGCUAUUGGAGCGGCCGAUGGCAGAUUAGCUAGUUGGUGGGGUAAAGGCCUACCAAGGCGACGAUCUGUAGCUGGUCUGAGAGGACGACCAGCCACACUGGGACUGAGACACGGCCCAGACUCCUACGGGAGGCAGCAGUGGGGAAUUUUGGACAAUGGGCGAAAGCCUGAUCCAGCAAUGCCGCGUGUGUGAUGAAGGCCUUCGGGUUGUAAAGCACUUUUGGCGGGAACGAAAAGGACUGUGCCAAUACCACGGUUCGAUGACGGUACCCGCAGAAUAAGCACCGGCUAACUACGUG
rnacentral:rRNA from 1 species